GAUGAACGCUAGCGGCAGGCUUAAUACAUGCAAGUCGAGGGGCAGCAUGAUUGUAGCAAUACAAUUGAUGGCGACCGGCAAACGGGUGCGGAACACGUACACAACCUUCCAACAAGUGGGGGAUAGCCCAGAGAAAUUUGGAUUAAUACCCCGUAACAUAGCGAUGUGGCAUCACAUUGCUAUUAUAGAUUUUUCGCUUGUUGAUGGGUGUGCGGCUGAUUAGAUAGUUGGCGGGGUAACGGCCCACCAAGUCUACGAUCAGUAGCUGAUGUGAGAGAAGGCUCAGCCACACGGGCACUGAGACACGGGCCCGACUCCUACGGGAGGCAGCAGUAAGGAAUAUUGGACAAUGGACGCAAGUCUGAUCCAGCCAUGCCGCGUGAAGGAUUAAGGUCCUCUGGAUUGUAAACUUCUUUUAUAAGGGACGAAAAAAGGCUUUUCUAAGUCGUCUGACGGUACCUUAUGAAUAAGCACCGGCUAACUCCGUGCCAGCCGCCGCGGUAAAAC
rnacentral:rRNA from 1 species